CGGGGUGCACCAGGCGCGAAAACUUUACAAUGCUGGAAACAGCGAUAGGGGGACUUUGAGUGCCAGGAUACAAUUCUGGCUGUCGUCGUGCCUAAAAAGCACGGCAUAGCAAGGGCCGGGCAAGACCGGUGCCAGCCGCCGCGGUAACACCGGCGGCUCGAGUGGUAACCGCUAUUAUUGGGUCUAAAGGGUCUGUAGCCGGCUGAAAAAGUCUCUUGGGAAAUCCGGCAGCUUAACUGUCGGGCUUUCAGGAGAUACUCUUCGGCUCGAGACCGGGAGAGGUGAGAGGUACUUCAUGGGUAGGGGUGAAAUCUUGUAAUCCUUGAAGGACCACCAGUGGCGAAGGCGUCUCACCAGAACGGAUCUGACGGCAAGGGACGAAAGCUAGGGGCACGAACCGGAUUAGAUACCCGGGUAGUCCUAGCCGUAAACGAUACUCGCUAGGUGUCGGCCACGGUGCGACCGUGGUCGGUGCCGUAGGGAAGCCGUGAAGCGAGCCACCUGGGAAGUACGGCCGCAAGGCUGAAACUUAAAG
rnacentral:rRNA from 1 species